ACGAAGGGUGCAAGCGUUACUCGGAAUUACUGGGCGUAAAGGGUGCGUAGGUGGUUUUUUAAGUCUGCUGUGAAAUCCCCGGGCUCAACCUGGGAAUGGCAGUGGAUACUGGAAAGCUGGAGUGCGGUAGAGGGUAGUGGAAUUCCCGGUGUAGCAGUGAAAUGCGUAGAUAUCAGGAGGAAUACCGAUGGCGAAGGCAGGUCUCUGGGCUGACACUGACGCUCAUGCACGAAAGCGUGGGGAGCAAACAGGA
rnacentral:rRNA from 1 species